UUGCAUGGCCAGCUUCCUUCUGCGAAACCUGCUUCAGGGCAUUAUCAAGAUGGGAAGGCUUCUGCUUUGAGGGAAAUCAAGAAGAAGAGAGAAGAGUUGUUUGAUCUGAUUGCUGACACAGAAAGGCGAUACGACACCCGGCUUACCAAGGAAGGCUGUCAAAACACACGCAUGCUCCAGCAGCUUGCGGUGCAAAUCGAGCCUAGACCCAAUGACCCCUUGUGGCGGUUGAAACGGUUUUCGAAGAGACUCAAUGAUUUUCUGGGGCUAGCCGGGGCUGUUAUAUCAUCCUAUAUGCUUACGCGGAAGUGGCUUCACUUGGACCAAGAGGCAGAUCCAAAAGGGGAGAAGACCUAACCAGCAAUAAUGGCUUCAGUUGGAGAACGAGGCAGAAGAUCUAACUAGCUGUCUGGGAAUCGAAGUGUAGUUUCACUAGUAUAGAAAUGCUCGAGGAUGAAGUUAUUAGUGCUCUUUUUGGGCAUUCCUCAGCUUUUGUACCAGCAACUGUGAAAAAUAGUAAUGCAUUUUUA